CCUACGGGGGGCAGCAGUGGGGAAUAUUGGACAAUGGGCGAAAGCCUGAUCCAGUCAUGCCGCGUGUGUGAAGAAGGCCUUCGGGUUGUAAAGCACUUUCAGUGGGGAAGAAAGCCUUGGGGCUAAUACCCUCGAGGAAGGACAUCACCCACAGAAGAAGCACCGGCUAACUCCGUGCCAGCAGCCGCGGUAAUACGGAGGGUGCGAGCGUUAAUCGGAAUUACUGGGCGUAAAGCGCGCGUAGGCGGUCUGAUAAGCCGGUUGUGAAAGCCCCGGGCUCAACCUGGGAACGGCAUCCGGAACUGUCAGGCUAGAGUGCAGGAGAGGAAGGUAGAAUUCCCGGUGUAGCGGUGAAAUGCGUAGAGAUCGGGAGGAAUACCAGUGGCGAAGGCGGCCUUCUGGACUGACACUGACGCUGAGGUGCGAAAGCGUGGGUAGCAAACAGGAUUAGAUACCCGAGUAGUC
rnacentral:rRNA from 1 species